rnacentral:rRNA from 1 species
GCUCUGUGGAUCAGUGGCGAACGGGUGAGUAACACGUGAGCAAUCUGCCCCUGACUCUGGGAUAAGCGCUGGAAACGGCGUCUAAUACCGGAUACGAGCUGCGAAGGCAUCUUCAGCAGCUGGAAAGAAUUUCGGUCAGGGAUGAGCUCGCGGCCUAUCAGCUUGUUGGUGAGGUAACGGCUCACCAAGGCGUCGACGGGUAGCCGGCCUGAGAGGGUGACCGGCCACACUGGGACUGAGACACGGCCCAGACUCCUACGGGAGGCAGCAGUGGGGAAUAUUGCACAAUGGGCGAAAGCCUGAUGCAGCAACGCCGCGUGAGGGACGACGGCCUUCGGGUUGUAAACCUCUUUUAGCAGGAAAGAAGCGAAAGUGACGGUACCUGCAGAAAAAGCGCCGGCUAACUACGUGCCAGCAGCCGCGGUAAUACGUAGGGCGCAAGCGUUAUCCGGAAUUAUUGGGCGUAAAGAGCUCGUAGGCGGUCUGUCGCGUCUGCUGUGAAAACCCGAGGCUCAACCUCGGGCCUGCAGUGGGUACGGGCAGACUAGAGUGCGGUAGGGGAGAUUGGAAUUCCUGGUGUAGCGGUGGAAUGCGCAGAUA